CAUCAUUAUUUAUAUUUUCAAUCGAGUUUUGACACAGUGAGAAAGAAAUAAUUUUUUCACUUUUCAAAUUUGUCAAAAUAGCUAUUUCGUAAAAAAUAUUACAAUGACAAUUCUAAUGUCCCGUACAUUCAUAUUCAAUAAAUUGUUUCUAAGUAAUAUCCGUAUUAGUUUCAAAAAAAUUGGUGUGAAAACAAUUAGUUUUCAAUUGAAUAAAUGACACGCGAUAAGGAAUCACA